rnacentral:misc_RNA from 1 species
UAGCUCUUUAACAAUUUGGAAAGCUGACUAGCAAAUUUAAUCGAAAGAUUAAUUUUAAAAAAUGUUUUUAUCUUCGGAUAAAAACGAGUUCUCAAACAACACACAUUGAAGUGUCUUGAUUUUGCUUUCACUUUUUAAAGUGAAGACAAAUAAAUGAGUCCGGCGAAAAACCAAUGUUUAAUAUUUUCUUGAUCGGAUUAUUAAACGCAAACCUUGGUUGUUUGAACAUACAAGACCUCUUGGGGUUGUAU